UUGAAGAAAAUAGAUAAGGAGUUGAUUUUGAAGAACGAAAAUGCGAAAUAGAGUUGGUAGCAGAUUGGUAGCUGAACAAUGUCAUGAUGAAGAAGUACGACCCUACAUUCACCAAUUAAUGAAAACUCAGAGCUGCUAGCCAGUCCAAACAUCUGAGGAUAACAAUUCUAUUGACACUGUUGUUGAGCUGAAUAAUGAGCCAGGUCCUUCAAAGACAAGUAAAGCUCGUGGACCUACUUUGUUAAAAGAUGUUUGGAAUCUACCGCCGGGGAAGACAAUUGUUGUGCCGUUUAAUAGUCGUAAUCAAUCAAUUGGAAAAGAGGGACGAAAGCUGGCUAGCUUUCUAGGCAUCAUUGCUAGAAAUGCGACUUGAAGGCUAUGUAUGUGACCAAAUAUAAGACCAAAGAUGCCUUGAUGAAAAAUAAACCAGCUCACAUACCAAGAGAUCAAUGGAAUGGUCUCGUCUCGUAUUGGCUUUCUGAAAAAGCAAAGAAGCGUAGUCAAACAAAUAGAAUCAGUAGAGCUAACCAAAAAAUGCCUCACACGGGUGGAUCCAAAAGCAUAGCAACCUUGAUGAAUGAACAGGCUAUAGAUGGAAUAGAGCCCACACGUGCAAAAAUCUACAUAUUAACUCACAUAGAGCGUAGAGAUGGUAGACCAUUGGAUGAGGAGUCUUCAAAUGCCGCUGACAUGAUGAAAGAGAAGUUGAGUAAUGAUGAGAUACUUGAGGAACAAUCUCAUGACAGUGUUGCUUGGGAAGGCGAUGCGCAUUCACAAGUGUUGGGAAAAGAAAAAAGUGGUUAUGUCCGUGGUUUAGGACUUGGUCCAACCCCUUCUCUGUUAUGGGGCAGUAAAUCAUUCUUACGAAAUGUUUCUGUUGAUGGUUUGUGUAACGAGGCUGCAAAAAAGUUAGAGCAAGAGAUAAAUGAGUUGAACAAAAAGCAGGAUGAAGAAAUGGUUUUGAUGAGAAAAAAUCAAGAGAUGCUAGUUUCAGAAUUAUCAUGGAUGAGAAAAGUCAUGUGGAAAUAUGCUCCUACUGAAUUAAGCAGGCCUCAAAACAAUGGAAGUACUACUAGACAGGUUAUCCGAUUUCAAAGUUUUAAAACUUCCUUUCAUAAAUUUUAGCUGUACAAGAUAAUUUUUUCAUCUAGUGUGUUGAUUUUACUAGGUUUCUGAUGCCAAUAGUGGCAAUGAACAAGCAAUAUAAGCACUGCUCAAGUCGUCAAGUGUCAACAAGUUCUUUCUUCUCACAGGCGAGAUAUUCAUUCAAAUGGUGAGCUUGUUCAAGGAAUGGCAUUGAUCCAGAAAGCUGACACAUUUUGCAUUAGGGAAAAAAAUAGUGGCUUAAUUGCCUUGUUUUCUUCAUUGUUGAACACAUUUUUUCUAUUGUGAUGAUUCAUACUUUCUAUUGUGAAUGUAUUAAGAUUGUUUGUUCUUAUUUUAAAUGAAUGACAUUGUUUUGAGUUUGGUA